AGGGGUAUAGCUCAGUGAUAGAGUGUGUGCUUAGCAUGCAUGAGGUCCUGGGUUCAAUCCCCAGUAACUCCA
rnacentral:tRNA from 1 species